AUUGAACGCUGGCGGCAUGCCUAACACAUGCAAGUCGAGCGAGAGGCGGACGGGUGAGUGAGGUAUGGGAAACUGGCUGAUCGACGCGGAUAACGACUGGAAACGGUAGCUACUACCGCAUACCGUCAGAUCUGCCCAGGUGGGAUUAGCUAGUGGGUGGGGUAACGGCUCACCAAGGCGACGAUCCAUAGCUGGUCUGAGAGGAUGAUCAGCCACACUGGGACUGAGACACGGUCCAGACUCCUACGGGAGGCAGCAGUGGGGAAUAUUGGACAAUGGACGAAAGCCUGAUGCAGCCAUGCCGCGUGUGUGAAGAAGGCCUUCGGGUUGUAAAGCACUUUCGGCGGGGAAGCGGUACCCGCAGAAGAAGCAACGGCUAACUCCGUGCCAGCAGCCGCGGUAAUUC
rnacentral:rRNA from 1 species